rnacentral:misc_RNA from 1 species
UUCGGGGACGGUUAUGGCAACCAGGUUCGCUUUUACCUUCGCUGUUUUUGAUUUUUGAGUGGAUAUAUGGAUUCUUUUUCAAAAAUUAGAAACAUUUUUUUCUUUUUAAGUAAAAAUUUAUUCUGGAGAAAUGAGCAAAUCGAAUUUCAGCUUUCAUAAUAGAGAGAUUAAUACAGAUGACGGAGCUCUGGUCCAUACUCGUAAACGCACGAUCAGCUUCUUAAAUAAGUUCAUUAUUAAGGUUGACCUACAUAAAUAAGGUCUUAUCUUCAUAAAUGCAAUAAUGGCGUGUCCAUG